CGCCCGUCGCUCCUACCGAUUGGAUGUGCUGGUGAAGCGUCCGGAUUGGUGACAGGCGACGGUUCGCCGCUGCUUGUUGCCGAGAAGUUCGUUAAACCCUCCCAUCUAGAGGAAGGUGAAGUCGUAACAAGGUUUCC
rnacentral:rRNA from 1 species